rnacentral:lncRNA from 7 species
UUACCAUCCAAAAAUCCAUGCCCCAUUCUUCGCUCAAUAAUAAAAAAGAAACAAAAACGCCGAUGGUAACCCAACCCCAUAACCUAGACAUUUUAGCAUCAGUAAAAAUAAAUUACAAUCCUAAUACAUGUUGAAAAAAAGUAAUUGUAUCGUACGAACAAACUAUGGCACCAUUUUAGCUCACCCGAUAAUACACUGAGAAAAUAAGCAUAACAAGCACGAUCGAUCUUACAGGAUGAUGGAUGAUGGUCCUUGGUAACAUAACAUAACAA